rnacentral:rRNA from 1 species
CAAAAACAUAGCUAAGUGAUUCACACUUAGUGUUUUCUGCUCAAUGAGAUUUUAAAUAGCCGCAGUACCCUGACUGUGCAAAGGUAGCGCAAUCACUUGACUUUUAAUUGAAGUCGCGUAUGAACGAAUAUAUGGGGGCUUUCUUUACCAUUAAUAUAAAUUGAACUUAUUUAGUUAGUGCAAAUGCUAACAGCUAAAUAGUAGACGAGAAGACCCUAGAAAUUUUAAUUGCUUUUUGUUGGGGCAACAUGAUAACAGUCAAUUUAUUUUUGUAUAUGACAUAUUGUUGGUUAAAUUAAAUUACUCUAGGGAUAACAGCAUAAUAUAAAAAUGUUUGUGACCUCGAUGUUGGAUUAGGAAAUUGUAAUCUAGAAGACAAUCAAUCUUGCUCUGUUCGCGCA